rnacentral:lncRNA from 1 species
GAGUCAAGCCUUUUGCUACGUGUCAAGAAACCCCUUGCUUAAGUAACUAGUUCGCUCAGCGAAUGUCAUUUCGCUUAGCGAACUCCUCUGUCCUGAAAGCCUAUAAAUAGAGCUCAGAAGCCAUUUUCUUAGAUAUAGUUUUUUGUAAUAGUUCAGAGAUACAAGUAAUAGUAGUUCUAAGAGUUCUUGAAGGUGGAUUCAUCAUUAUACUUGAGAAAUCAAGAGAUGUUCUUCAUCCCUUUUUCUUGUAAGUUUACUUUGAUCAUGUCUAGCUAAAUUCCUUUGUUGUUGGGAUUAGAUGUAGUUAUNNN